UACAGAGGAUGCAAGCGUUAUCCGGAAUGAUUGGGCGUAAAGCGUCUGUAGGUGGCUUUUUAAGUCCGCCGUCAAAUCCCAGGGCUCAACUCUGGACAGGCGGUGGAAACUACCAAGCUGGAGUACGGUAGGGGCAGAGGGAAUUUCCGGUGGAGCGGUGAAAUGCGUAGAUAUCAGGAGGAACACCAAUGGCGAAGGCAGCUCGCUGGGACGUGACUGACGCUGAGACGCGAAAGCGUGGGGAGCAAACAGG
rnacentral:rRNA from 1 species